GAGAGGAGAGGAGAGGAGAGGAGAGGAGAGGAGAGGAGAGGAGAGGACAGGAGAGGAGUGGAACACGCAGAGGGAGGGAGACCAAACCCCCUCUUUGCUGCAUUGAGAGCUUCUGAAUUUCAAGCAGAAAGUAGAAGAAGCCCCACACAGCAAUAUUCGUCUUUUCUUGGGCAGCGUGUGCAGAGCGUAGACAAUGAAAAUCUCCAUCCCCCUCCCCCAUGCUCUCUAGUCUACAAGAUUUUUGUUUCUUUCCUUCUCAACGAUGGAAGCUAUGUAAAAUCAAAUAUACAGAGAUGCACAUUCAUUUUUUAAAGCACAGACUAACAAACCAAACGAGCUGACCGCGGAUUAUCCAAACGCGCACCUGCUGGGAGCGUUCUGGGGUCUCUGCACAAAACCUGCUUUUGAGCUCUUUGGCUUCCUUCGAGCGAGUUGGAGCCCGUCCUUUCCCCUGGCCCACCCACCCGCAAGGGAUGCUGUGAAAAGAGCUGCUGCCCACCGCCUCCGGUCCGCUGUCCAGAGGGCUCCGCCCAUAGAGGUCAACUCCCCUCACUCUUCCUCUUUCCAGCUCGCCCUCCCUCCGCCGAGCCCAGACUCGGGUCUCCUGACUUUUGCCGCAGAGAGUGCACGUCUGCUGCGCUGCCCUUAACCUACGCCGGGAGCGGGCUCAGACCCGAUCUCUGCUCUCCAGGGCCAGAGGAAGCCCGAGCAAGCAGCCUUUUCUCCCCGCAGUAAAACCAUAGCCAGACCAGAUGCGCCCCAGCUCUCUCGGGACUCGGCAGGUGCUGUUGAGUUAAUUUUUCCGCCAUACAAAGAAGGAUGACCCAGCCCUCCCUGGGAUUCUGAUCUUUUCCCAAAAAUUCCCAACCAAAAUCAGGGUAUCAGAGGCAUAUUCGUGUGUUUGUCGGACAUACAAACACGCAUGUUUAUAUUCGAUUUUAUCUGCUAGAUUUCUUCUCUGACAGUAGGAGACUACUGACAAAGGUUUCUUCAGCGGAACACUCAUGGCGUGGUCUUUUAAGACUUUUCUUUCCUUACAAAUGUCUUAGGAAGGGAUUCAGGGCAAACCAACUCAGUUAAUUGCCUUUAGUAAAAUAACACGAUUAGGAAAUUAGAUCUGUACCAGAGGGGUAAUUAACUUCGAUCCACGUCAUCAUUUAAAAACUAGAUUAUAGACAUAUGUAUGGAUUUUAGGUGCGCUGCAAAUGGCAUGCAGAUGUAUGCAUAAGCAUACAGGCUCAUGCACCAUCUACUCUUCCACCACACAGACUAAUUAAGGGCAACUCUAGCAGAUGUGGCAGGAGGAAAGCUGAGCUGGGUGCACUGAGUUAAGACCCUGGGGGUAGGGACUUCAAGCUUGGAACUCCAGGGGAGGGUGAAGGGCAAAGAGGAAAGUGUGAUAGUUGCAAUGAGUCAGUUGCUUCUGGAUCAAGAUCAGAGACUCUGCCCUCCGUGUUCACAGCGGACCUUGAUUUAAUGUCAUACAAUUAAGGCACGCGGUGAAUGCCAAGAGCGGAGCCUACGGACUGCACUUGAAGGACAUCAGAGAGACUCAGGGUCAGGAAGGGUGCGGAGAAACAAUUGCAGGCCUCAUGAAGGGAGUUAGAAUGAACCCAUCCUGUGAGGCAUAAGGACCCCUCGCAUUGAUUCAGAUUCUUUAGAAUGCGAGACAGUCAUAUGUUUUUCAGCGAGAAUCCGGGAAACCCUCAUGCAUUUCCCCAAGGGGAAUAUUACAGGUUUCAUUGACAGCUGUCAGACAGCGGUAGCUCCUAUUGGUGCAAACGGUCUAGAGACCCUGCAUUCCGAAAGCUUUGGUCUUUUCAAAACAGAUUGAGAGCUUGUCCUCAAUCCUGGGCCAGGUUGGGAAAACAAAGUGUAUGAGGAGGUAUAGCCUCCAGACCACAUUGCGCAAAACCCUCAACUGACUCAAUCAUCUGUGGAAAUUGGAGCAUCCCGCCCCGGUAGCCCUUGACUUGUCGGGUUUUGAGAGACUAAGGCAAAGCCCUUGCAAUACCCAAAUCAGUCAAAGUUGUGAAAUAAGGGGAAAGACCAAGCUGGAAACUCGGGGACUUGGAAAAUUAAUUUAUUUGGAAGACCAUGGGGGUAGACCUAGUAGAUAGAUCCACUCCACAACCUUGGAGCCUAAGAAAACCAAGGCUAAGGAGAAAGCCUUGAUAGAAGUCUUUGUUCUGUAGUGGCCUGCCUGGCCUGGGAACAAAGGCGAGGCCGGGAAAAGAUGCACCAAAGUGGCCGCGCCCUCUGCGCCUUGCGCUGUCCGUGGUGCUGACCGGAUCCCCUUCUUCCUCCGCUACCCAUAAUUCUGCAAGUAAGGCAAUAGAAUUGCUUCUUCCCUCCCUAAAAAAAUCCAGGGUAUUAGGUAAUUUACAAAUUAAAAAUUGAGAUUCGUAAAGAUUGUAAACAUCUAAACGGAGUUUUACUGAAACCGUACACUCUGUUAUGACGAUCAGUUGAUUUGAGCUGAAACCGGAAUCCGAGUAGGGGACAAAACCUGCAAGAAAGAGAUGAAACAGAAGGAAAUUUUGUUUUGAUUUGUUUUGUUUUAAAUCAAAACCCUGAAAACAGAGACACAAGUUCUCAGUUGGGGAUCGUAGCGCGGAUGAGGUUACCAAAGGUAUCUCUCAAAUGACCCCAGAGUAUGCCUCAAGACAUAUUAGAGAGAAUAAAACUGGACUGAUGUGGUGACCAAGGCAAGCAGGAGUAAAGCAGCCUGCAACCACUGUAUAGGCUCUCAGCAUGGCUCUGAACAGGGUAGCCUCCCUAAGUGACUUCUGAGGCCAAGACCCACAAAGCAAUGCGUCCCUGAUGCUCUGGAGCUGGCAGACAGCAUCACCUCUCAAGGAGACACUGCAGGCCCAGAAGGCCUGACUCCCGCAGUGCGGGAAAGACCACAAUGCAGAACUCUCCUUCUCAUAGCUACCCUGGACCAGAGGUCCAGAGACAGACAAAAUUACCAAAUUCCAUAUAAUUAAGAUUUGCCUCAGGAAUUGUGGGUCAGACGUGUCUGAAGUAAUGCAUUCAAUAUGUAUUUAAAACAUCCAGCAUAUUUCAGCAUUCUAACUUAAACACUGAGAAUAUUGUAUAUAAACAAUAAAACAUUAAGUUCUACAGUCAUAUUUGCAAUGAAAAGAGAAAUAGGUAAUAAAUUGAUUUGUGUCCAGCCUAGGUUCAGAAAAAAAUGUUCCAUGCUUGAAUUUCUUUAUAGAUUCACACCAUAAAUGCUGCCAAGCAUUAUCCAUAGAUAAACUGAACCAGGUUGUACAAAAGAGACAGUGACAGCAAUUUUUUUGCAGGUAUAGAAUGGGCUAUAUAUGGACAGUGGCAUAAAAGAUAUGUUUUUAUGACAUUCUCUUAAAAACUGAAUGGCAGAAAUGUAUCCACUGACUCAGGAAAUAAAAGAGGUCAGAAACAAUAUCCUUGGUGGUCUAAUUCCUCGCUUCAUCCUGAAAGGUGGAUUUUAUUUGUCUUCUCAUUUUAAAAUCCUGUAAAUUAGCACUUUUAAAUGCACAAACUUUAGGUUUGUGUGUGAUUUCACACAAGAUGAGGGGACAGAGUUUGCAAACUGUGCUGGGAAAAGAGCUAUUUCAAACACAAAGAAGAUGGCUUUAGGAUGUUCCUCUUUUGUCAAUGAAAAACAGUCACCAGAAAUGGAAAUGGGCUUGAACCAUUGCAGGCUAUCGUAGAGGCUCCUAUUUCCUUCCGAUAUUCAUCCAGUUGUAUUGAUGGCCUCUAUCCACAGUCCGUUGAGCACUUCACAAAGCAAAAAGGGUCUAAGGCUUCAAAACAGUCCUAUUUGUGUUGUUUUAAUUCACAUUACAUAAUAACAACACACUAAUACUCCCUAACCUAAUCCUAUUUGUGUACGAUCAUCCUAAAUUCUGGUUUCAUAAAGCUUAAUUGGUUCAAAAAUAUAUUUUCUAAAUAGAAACAAAAUGUGUUACUAGAGAAUUAUAAAAGUAAGGGAACAAACACGUGAUUAAGUCAUCUGGUUACCAAGCGAAGUCCAGUGUGGUUAUUGAGUCAUAGUGUUUUUAUCCUUUUAAAACUAUUUAAUUUCAAUUUCUUAAAAAAUAAUCAUCUAGUUUAAUGUCCAUUACAAAAUUUUCUUGCUGUGAAAUUCUGUGCUCAGCGGUUUUCCAGAAAAACAACCCAGGUGGACAAUUAGCGAGCUUUGGUGCAAAGGACCAUGGGAGUCCUUCGGCAAUCACAACUUUCAUCUAGUGGUCUGAAAUGAGAGCUUCUCGGAAUAAUUUAGGAACAGCUUGACCCAUUGAGAUGCUCCUGGACAACCCUCUUGGGAAAUAGUUUCUUUCCUUCCAGGGAACAAGAUGCUAGCUCAGGGAACAGAGAGGUAUCUGGUGUCAACAAUGCCAGCGCGCCCUCUGCUGGGCCUCAAGAAACAGCACAUGUGGUUACAGAUGCCAGAUGGUACGAGUUUCAAUAAGCCCUUGAAACAUUAAGCUCUUAGGAUCAUUUAAUCUGUGGAAUUUAAAGGCUCCCAUCAUAUCCUCCGCCUGAAAGGCCACCCUAUUUUUAUUCUGAGAGCUCCUGGGAUGGCUAUCUUUUAUGCUAUAGGUACGAGAAGUCAUGUUUGAAGUUGACCGCUGUUGGUUGCUUUCUGUAUUCUUUUUGCAGUUCUUUUUACAGGAAAAUAUGAAAUUGUAAAUCUCAAGGAAAACAAUCUUUCUCCUCCUAGGCAUUUUAAUAUAAAAUAAUUUUCAUCUUUGAGCCCAUAUCUGAAAUUUAAUAAAGGUAGUUAUUUUUAUUUAGAAUAAAGAUACCAGGAACAAGGUGUUUACUUAAAGAAUUUCAAAACACAAAUAAGGUCUUAGAUAAAAAGCUAUUGUGUUGGUUUGUAUUAAUAUUAACUGCAAUUUUCGAAGACUACACUUUGGAAUAAGAAAGUAAGUUAUGUUUGAGGAAGAGGCUGAAAUGUUUGAGUCAUGUUAAUUAAUAUAUCCAGAAGUUCACCUUUGAAAUUUCCCUACUGAGUUAACAUCAGUCCUCAGGUGGCAAAGAUCCCAGAAACUAGACUACUGUGAGUAGAAUCACGAAGAAAGCAGAAAUGGAAGCACCAUGUGCAAACUUCUGAAUGUUUUCUGUGUUUUUCUGUAUGGAACAAUCUAUUAUAAAAUGAAAUGGAGGCUACUUCUAAAGCCUGUUUUUGAUUCCACAUCUUAUUGGCCUUAUAUUGAGUAAAAUAAUGUAUAGCUGUAUUAUCUCAUAACUGUGAGUUAGAAAUUCCAGCCUGUUGUACAACAGACACAUCUUUGCUGUAAAAGCUGUUACUAACUACAUCGGUGCUGAUAUAAUAAAAUGUUUCUAAUUAUAUGGUUGUUAAAUACGUCUUCUAAAAUAAAGUUCAGUUUAUUUUAUGAUGUCAGAAUGAAAUAGCUGUUUAAUAUCUUUCAUUUCAACACUAGAUUUUAAAUGAAAGCUCAUAAGACUAUCAUGAUGAAAUUUUAAGAAAAGCUAUCUGGUGUUACAAUUUGUUUUGGGGGGAACAACUCUUGAUUAAAUGUUAAACCAACUUAAAUAUUUAACCAAGUAUGUCAAAUUCCAUAUAGCAUAGGUAAGUCUCUCUUCUGAAAGCUGCUUAUUUGAAGCAAGCAUUACCAAUUUAUAGGAGAGUAAAUGAAGAAAAGAAAACUCUCACAAUUUCUAUAAUUUUAGUCUAAGCAUUAGAAAUGUGAAAUAUUUUAUUUUAUAUAAUUUAAAUUUCUU
ensembl:lncRNA